UUGAGAGAAUUGAAUAUAUGAAACUACCAACAGAACAGGUACAGCAUAGGCAUCAACAGCAACUUCCCCACAUUGUCUAGUCAAUAUGCUUCAAUUGUUAACCUCUUCAUGGGGGAACUGAAGAGAUGCCAUAUGUUAAUGACUUUUGGCUGCUACUAUAUU
rnacentral:sRNA from 1 species